ensembl:lncRNA WDR11-DT WDR11 divergent transcript
GCGCCGACACCUUGAAGUUCACUGUGUAGGGCAACAUCCCGGCGGCCAGCCCAGGACCUGGGCGCUGACCCGCAACCAGGAAGCGGCGGACACUGUGCUUCCGUUCCAAACAGAGUCCGGGUGGCCCCCUCGGCGCCGCUGUCAGGUUCCUCUAGAUUCAAGUUCUACAGGCUCCGGGUUCCACCGCUCCCGGAUUCCAUCGCCCCCAGGUUCCGUUGCCUUCAGUUUCCUAGGAUCCUAGGUUCCGCACUCUCCAGAGUUCCGCCGCUUAGGCGGUUGUGCUAAUCUGCGUCAGCUGGGGCUGUAUUUGGAAGAAGAGGCGCUGCCUCCAGUCAAGUCUGUUUUUUUCAGAGGAAGUUAUUGUCCCAAAGUUGUGUGUCAUGCCCGAAGUGUCUGGGAUCCCCGAGUGCCUGUGGUGCCCAAGAGCUAUGAAUCUGCUAUCAUCAACACAGAGGGUACCUUCUGAAUGGGCUAUGUCUACAGUGAUGCUGCAAAUGGAAGCUAACCCUAGGAUGACUGGCCUCUGACACUUGAGCCAUCCCAUCAUCUGUCAUGGGUUGACCCAUCCAUCCCCUCAAUGAGCCUGACCUUCAGGACCACUGACAGAGGAGCAGUCAAUAGAAAUUAAUUGUUAAAUACCCAGAAAAUCUGAAAUGGUAUUUAAUAUGCAGUUCAUCAAGAGCAAAAGUUCCUUAAAUCUUCAUCUAGAAAAGUUAUUUAUAAGGGAUGAAUAUGUUGUAUGAAUAUGUUGUAUGCAAAUAUUAUAUUCAAGGGCAAGACCAUGAAAACAGUUUAAGAAUCCGACAGGGAAUUAGAUAAAGACAUCGGAGUGCACUUGUCAAAAUACAGCUAUCAAGAAUGAUGAUGUUGAAAAAUAGUUUAGCAAUAUAAUUGUCUAGAACCACAGGGAGUCUGAGAUUUUACCCAACUUGUGAGUUAACAACUCUGCUAUAGCUUCAUGAAAGAAGACACAAGACUCCUGGGUCAGGAACAAAGGUCUCUAAUACUCACAGCAAUAUCAGGAGCCAGAAUUUCAGGAUCCUUUUUCCUGCCAGUUUCUCAAGUCCUAAUUACCACCGAGUUACAGGAAAGGGCCAGGUAACACUAGCACUGCCAUCAGUGGCUGUAUUACAGAACAGGAACUCCAAGCUUAGGAAACCCAAAUCUUUUAUAGUUAACAAUGAACACAUCUGCCAUUGUUCUGAAGGGAGACGCUACCCCAAUCUUCCACACCUGUUCACUAUAUAAAUAUCUGUGAAAAGAUAGACAGAAAAAUAGGUGGAGAAUGCCUCUGCUCACAAGAUGUGCAGAAACGUGAGAGGCUCAUGGAGAACUGUUUCCCUACAAUGACAAAAUGCUGACGAUAUAUUGUUAUGUAAAAUAAAGCAGGCAUUUUUCACCUCA